rnacentral:rRNA from 1 species
GUGUCGUGAGAUGUUGGGUUAAGUCCCGCAACGAGCGCAACCCCUGCAUUCAGUUGCCAUCGGGUGAAGCCGGGCACUCUGGAAGGACUGCCAUCGACAAGAUGGAGGAAGGUGGGGACGACGUCAAGUCAUCAUGGCCCUUAUGUCCAGGGCGACACACGUGCUACAAUGGCCGGCACAACGGGAAGCGAGUUCGCGAGGACGAGCGGAUCCCUUAAAGCCGGUCGCAGUUCGGAUUGAAGUCUGCAACUCGACUUCAUGAAGCUGGAAUCGCUAGUAAUCGCAGAUCAGCCAAGCUGCGGUGAAUACGUUCCCGGGCCUU